rnacentral:rRNA from 1 species
UACAGAGGGGGCAAGCGUUGUUCGGAAUUACUGGGCGUAAAGGGCGCGUAGGCGGCCUGCUAAGUCGAACGUGAAAUCCCUGGGCUCAACCCAGGAACUGCGUCCGAUACUGGUUGGCUUGAAUCCGGGAGAGGGACGUGGAAUUCCAGGUGUAGCGGUGAAAUGCGCAGAUAUCGGGAGGAACACCAGUAGCGAAGGCGGCACUCUGGGCCGGUACUGACGCUGAGGAGCGAAAGCGUGGGGAGCAAACGGG